rnacentral:rRNA from 1 species
CCUACGGGAGGCAGCAGUGGGGAAUAUUGGACAAUGGGGGCAACCCUGAUCCAGCCAUGCCGCGUGAGUGAAGAAGGCCUUCGGGUUGUAAAGCUCUUUCAGUUGGGAAGAAACGGGGUUCUCUAACAUAGAGCUCUAAUGACGGUACCGACAGAAGAAGCACCGGCUAACUACGUGCCAGCAGCCGCGGUAAUA